rnacentral:lncRNA from 1 species
UCAAACAUCUUUCCAUUUCAACACUCUCUCCACCAAAUUUUGCCACUUGAAGCAAAUCCAAUGACCCCCAUUUUUUUAUAAAUAGGGCCUUUCCUCCCAUUUUCUAAUCACUUCCAUUCUUCCACCUUCCAAGAGAUUAGAGAGAGAGAGAGAGUGAGUGAUCUAGAGAAAAAAGGAGAGGAAGAAAAGAAGAACGGUGUAGAAAAAACUUC